ACCCCGCCUGGUGGGCGGGGUGGCGCGGGGGCAGCAUGGAGGGCGCGGUGUCGAACGUGGCCGUGUGUAAUCUGGCGUUCGCGGGGCGCCUCGAGGAGCUGCGGGCGCUGCUGCUCCGCGACAGGGCUCAGGCCACGCGGGCAGACCAGGAUCACCGCACCGCGCUACACUGGGCCUGCUCGGCGGGACACACGGACGUCGCAGACCUCCUCCUCGGGCUUGGCGUGCCUGUGAACGAUAAGGACGAUGCUGGUUGGACUCCCUUGCACAUUGCUGCUUCAGCAGGCCGUGACGAAAUUGUGAAAGCCCUCAUUGCUAAGGGUGCUCAUGUAAAUGCUGUCAAUCAGAAUGGCUGCACGCCCCUGCAUUAUGCAGCCUCCAAAAAUAAGCAGGAGAUUGCAAUCAUGCUUUUGGAGAACGGAGCAGAUCCGGAUGCAACAGAUCAUUUUGAAUCCACCCCGUUACACAGAGCAGCAGCCAAAGGAAACCUAAAAAUGGUACAGAUCCUUGUGCAGCACAAUGCAACUGUGGAUAUACGGGACUCUGAAGGGAAUACUCCUCUCCAGGUGAGGACACAUGGAAAAAACGAAGAAGCCCGAAACCGGAAGUCAAUUGUGUGCACCUGCAAAAAUAACUCGGGCGCAAUUUAGUAGUCCCCCGGACAGCGCGGGGCAACCGUCUGGGUAGGUCUUGUCCUCUAGAACCCUCCGAACCCCCGGCUGCCCGCUGCCCCAGCUCUGCACAGAGCGUGCGGGCUCUGGAGCUGGUAGGAACCAGAUAGCGUUUUGUGCAAUACACCUCAUUUCUGGAGUUAAAAAUCUCCAGUCGCAUUCUCUCCUAAUCUCGGUGCGCGGGCUUUUCAACAGACCCUCUUCCAGGACGAGCCCCUCCGGGGCGGGAGGAUAGGUUGGCUAGUCAGGAGACAAUCCUGAGAAAGAGGGAGCUGAAGAUACUGAAGGAACGCUUCAAAAGAACUGGAAGGCUGUCUAAAUGGGAGAGAGACUUGCUGCUGUGAGGAAUCUACUGUGACGUCAGUUUGGAUCUGCAGUCAGACCCUUCAGUGUGUGCUUGCAGUCUGUGUUGAGCUAGGUGAAAACCUGCAGUCAGAGGCAGCAAGGAAAUACUUGCAGUCAUAUUCCAGCAGGAAAAAUCCAGCAGUCAGACUCUGCAAAGGACACCUACAGUGGGUGUUUGCUGCAGUCAAAGUCAGUGAUUAGUUGGAGUCAGGAUGGCUGAGUUAUGAUGAAGAAUAAGCUGGGGCUUUUUCACAUCUUUAAAUAAGAGUCAUGUCUUGAUUAAUUUCUUUCUCAAAUGCAAGGUCUGCUGCAACAAUAUUGAUUGCAGGUGUGAAUUUACUGAUUUUAUAAUAGAGAUAAUUCAUAAGAUAUUAACGCUGUACUUACAGCUGACUUUUUCAUGUCUUUUAACAUCUCUUUGUGUAAUUAUAUAUGAGAUGUAUCAUUUUCAGGAUCUUUCCUUUUUUGUUCUCUAGUUGCAUAUUCAUCUCCUUUAUCCAGGCUACCUCUCUGUUGUCUCAUUAUUUUCAGUAUUUCAGAAUUCCAGGGCAAGAAAACCUCCUCUAAACUGUUGAUCUUGAGGUUCAUGAGAGAGAGGACAGAGCACAGAUGCAAUCCCAGUCAUUUCUUACAGAAGCAGUCCAGCAGUUUGCUGCCUUUUAGGCAUCUCACUCGUAAGGAAAACUUCAGGGGGAACCAGCUAUUGGAUGGGCUUGAUUAGUCUUUCACCCCAAGACCUUUACUCAUAACUUCUAUUCUUAAGACUCUUGUUUUUUAAAUAUGUCAGGGAAUUCUCUUCCAAUUAGGGCCUGGGCUCUGGCCAUGCCCCCCUAUACCCGGAAGGGAAAUUGCCAACAAACCCAGGUGUUUUCUGCAUCAAAACAAUACUCUCAUCACUUUGACUUGGCAAUAUAUAUGUAUGUAAAUAUAUAUAUAUACACACACAAAUAUAGAAAUGGCGGCAAUGUGUGUGAGUAUAUGUGACAGCUGGACCUAUUUUUAAAGUGAACCUGGGAAUUAUUGUCUGGAAGUAAUUAUCCAGGCCCUCACUGAAUCGAAGUUUAUCAGCUGUUUGCAGACUCUGAGAUGAUGGCACAGUGUUUCAGAGAUUGUUAAUUACCUAAUUCCACAUGUGUUAUUAAUUAUGUCUAUUAUCUGAAAUGUUCAUGAUUGCUAUAUCUGAAUUAUUCCUAAUUGCUCUAAGUUUCUGGUUUCAUUACAUAUAUUGUUUUGUUUUGUUGUUCCCUUCAUGUUCAUGAUGAGACUCGCACAUGCUGUUUUUUUAAAAAAUGAAAGGAAGGGGGAAUUAGCCCCUAAAGAAUGUCUGAAUAAUGCAGUAUUUCUACAAAAAAAAAUUUUUUUAAAAAUUUUUACCUAAGGAUCCUCAAUUGAGUAUACAAUGGCACAGCCUAAUUGAUUCAUUAAUUUAAGGAGAAAAUAUGCAUGUAUUUUUAUCAUCAGCAGGUUCAAAGUAGUAAUCUAUUCAUUGACCAGACAUCAAUUGCCUCUGAAGACAUGAGCCAGUGAAAAGUGAAAUAAUCUAAUCAUCAUGCAGCCUUCCUGGCCAGAGCAGGAACAGAAGUAGAACUGCCAAGACAUAGCCGUGUCUGGAAACUUACAGAGGCAAUUUGCCAACAAAAGCCUUAUGUCAUCAUCAUGAAACAGUGUUCCUACUAACCUUCUUCAGUUAUUCCCUGUUCCAGUAUCCAAGAGGAUAUUCAUUGAUGUCAAAGAUCAACAUUUACAGCUAAUGGACUUUCUCCUACUUCUCAACUAAUUGGACUUUCAAACAACAGUCAUUUAUUUCCUUAGGAGAUAUUGGACAUUUACAUAAUAGGAUUUAAUAAGUUUUAUUGAUUGUAAUUGAUCUUUUAUGUAUCUUAUUCCAUAUCUCAUAGAUAACUGAUAAUAUCCUCACAAGAGUGAGCUGUUGUAACAUCAGAAUAUAUGAGCCUUUUUUAAAUUAAUAAAAAGGGGGAGAUGUCAUAGAUGGUAGAAGAAUUAUAAAAGAAAGGCCUCA